rnacentral:rRNA from 1 species
AGGACGAACGCUGGCGGCGUGCUUAACACAUGCAAGUCGAACGGAAAGGCCCUGCUUUUGUGGGGUGCUCGAGUGGCGAACGGGUGAGUAACACGUGAGUAACCUGCCCUUGACUUUGGGAUAACUUCAGGAAACUGGGGCUAAUACCGGAUAGGAGCUCCUGCUGCAUGGUGGGGGUUGGAAAGUUUCGGCGGUUGGGGAUGGACUCGCGGCUUAUCAGCUUGUUGGUGGGGUAGUGGCUUACCAAGGCUUUGACGGGUAGCCGGCCUGAGAGGGUGACCGGCCACAUUGGGACUGAGAUACGGCCCAGACUCCUACGGGAGGCAGCAGUGGGGAAUAUUGCACAAUGGGCGGAAGCCUGAUGCAGCAACGCCGCGUGCGGGAUGACGGCCUUCGGGUUGUAAACCGCUUUCGCCUGUGACGAAGCGUGAGUGACGGUAAUGGGUAAAGAAGCACCGGCUAACUACGUGCCAGCAGCCGCGGUGAUACGUAGGGUGCGAGCGUUGUCCGGAUUUAUUGGGCGUAAAGGGCUCGUAGGUGGUUGAUCGCGUCGGAAGUGUAAUCUUGGGGCUUAACCCUGAGCGUGCUUUCGAUACGGGUUGACUUGAGGAAGGUAGGGGAGAAUGGAAUUCCUGGUGGAGCGGUGGAAUGCGCAGAUAUCAGGAGGAACACCAGUGGCGAAGGCGGUUCUCUGGGCCUUUCCUGACGUUGAGGAGCGAAAGCGUGGGGAGCGAACAGGCUUAGAUACCCUGGUAGUCCACGCUGUAAACGGUGGGUACUAGGUGUGGGGUCCAUUCCACGGGUUCCGUGCCGUAGCUAACGCUUUAAGUACCCCGCCUGGGGAGUACGGCCGCAAGGCUAAAACUCAAAGGAAUUGACGGGGCCCCGCACAAGCGGCGGAGCAUGCGGAUUAAUUCGAUGCAACGCGUAGAACCUUACCUGGGUUUGACAUGGAUCGGGAGUGCUCAGAGAUGGGUGUGCCUCUUUUGGGGUCGGUUCACAGGUGGUGCAUGGCUGUCGUCAGCUCGUGUCGUGAGAUGUUGGGUUAAGUCCCGCAACGAGCGCAACCCUUGUUCACUGUUGCCAGCACGUUAUGGUGGGGACUCAGUGGAGACCGCCGGGGUCAACUCGGAGGAAGGUGGGGAUGACGUCAAGUCAUCAUGCCCCUUAUGUCCAGGGCUUCACGCAUGCUACAAUGGCUGGUACAGAGAGUGGCGAGCCUGUGAGGGUGAGCGAAUCUCGGAAAGCCGGUCUCAGUUCGGAUUGGGGUCUGCAACUCGACCUCAUGAAGUCGGAGUCGCUAGUAAUCGCAGAUCAGCGACGCUGCGGUGAAUACGUUCCCGGGGCUUGUACACACCGCCCGUCAAGUCAUGAAAGUUGGUAACACCCGAAGCCGGUGGCCUAACCGUUGUGGGGGAGCCGUCGAAGGUGGGACUGGUGAUUAGGACU